UAUUAAAUAUCUAAUGUUUACAAGUUAGCAACAGUCAAAAGAUUAUUUGUAAGUUCCUGUGGAAUUUUAGUGGACCUUAAGUUUAAGAACUUCUGAUCCCUUUGCAACAUCUUCCUCUGUACUCGGUAGCCUUGACAGUGUAACGAAGGUCUCGUAAAAAGCUACUGCCUUCAGCAGACUUUUAAAAUGUCGGCAUCAUAGAACUUGGAAACGCACCAGUAAAUAAAUACUUAUCAAUGCUGCAUAAUAAAGUAUACACUUAUAAGGAAAAAUUCAUGGGUGCUUUAUUCCAGAAACACUCGGGUGAUUGGGAAUCUACACAUGCUGUAACAUAAGCAAGUACUUGAUAACUGCCAUAGUUGUCAAAUGUAAUAUGGAAUCAUCAUUGACCACAAAAAAUUACAUCUGCCGUUCUAUUUCUUGGUAUAUAAAAAGUCAACAGUUGAUGCAAGUGCAGAUUUUAUAAGCCUUAAUUUUAUACAUGUUUUCUUUAGCAAGCUGUAGAAACUUAUGAAGUUGCCCAUCUUAAAGACAACUAAAUAAGUGAGACCGCAAAAGCUGGCAUUCUCAAGAUCUUCCCCAUCAGAUUAGUAGAUUUAGUUUAGUCUUGUUACUUCUCAAGGAGCAUAGGGCUGAAGCAGAUUAGUAGUAUAGACCUAAAAUCUUUUAAAAGCUCAAAAUGAUAGUUUGCUUCUAAAUCUAUUUUUUUCAUGUUUACUUAGAACUCAUGUUUUUAAAAACCAGAACUUUGAAACAUAUAUAAAAAUGUUGGCUUGCACAAAAACAGUAGGUAAGAAUCAGUCUAGACAAAAACAGUCAAUGUACAUUGUUAUUGUAAAGAAAUGUUAUGAGUUGAAGAAUUUUAAUACAUGAUUAAAAGUUUCAGCACCUAGUCUUUCUCUUUGUUAGGUUAAAAAAGGUGUGAAAAUGACUGCCAGUAAAUAUGCUAAUUCGCUAGUGAUAAUUGUUUAAAAUAUGGGGAAGAAUCAGUUGAUAAACCAGUUUCUAAUAUUUAGAUCACGGAUAGGAUUAAGGUAUUACAUAAACUAGUAGAGUAGUAUUUCUACUGUGUUCAUUUGUUUGUGUGAUUUAAACAGCUGGAUUUGUAGAGGAAAACAGCACUUUACACCAGUUACAUUUUAUCAAACCAUUCUUUUUGACUUAGAUGUAAUGCAGUGGUUUUUUUUUCUUUGUUAAAUGCCUGCUUGAUUAAACAUUAUGGACUUUUGAACAGAUCAUUAUGUUUCAGCAGAAUUUUGACAGAAACAUGCAUGAAUCAGCUUGAACCUGCAGACUUGAGAAAAAUUUUGUCAAAAUAGUCUUUUGCAUGAUAUGACAGAACUUGACAUAUGCGAGACUGCAGAUCACAUAUAAGCAUAGCAAUGAAUCUUACAAAAAAAAAAUUUGUACAGCCAUUUAAUCGUAACACAUUUAAAGUGUGUCUAAACUUGUAUAAAAAGUUGAAUUUGUUUUAAUCUUAUAUCAAGAAUGUGAUAAUGAUAUGAAACAUUAGAUUUACAAAAAGCACUUUAAAAGCAUUGACAAAGGAUAAAAAAACUGCCAUUAGAUAACUGAAAUUGGUAACCAAAAACAUACAUUGCUGACCUCCCCUAACCCAUGAGAAAAAAUAGGUAUGAUGUUGUCAUCACUAGUUGAAGCACAAGGUAUAUUUUAGUAAGCCGCGUUUUUGAUGACUACACAAAAAUGGGCAAAAUCUACGCAGUUUUUGAUUGUGAAACCAAUUCAAGUAACAAGACUGGUAUACCAUCAUUCCAAUUUCCCGAAAAACUAACAUUCUUAGAGUGUGGAUUAACUUUGUCCAAACAACGAGAAAAAAGUUUCACAGUGCUGAUCCCGUUCAGCAUGAUUUGUGCUCGUCAUUUCAUACCAGAAUAUUAUUGUGAGUUGUGGAAUGUUGAAGAAAGGUCUGAUCAGAAAACAGACACAUCUUGCCAACAAAGAUGGAAAGGCCACAAGAAGAGAGGAUGGACUGGUUUGCAUUAAAUUCAGAUAAAUUCACAGCACUAGGAAGUAUUCUGAAUAGAUGCUUGGCAAAGGAUAUCCAAAAGCUGUCUUUGCUACACCAGACAUCUACUUGGGAAACCUUUGAUAGCCUGAUGAUAAGGCUCUGCCCUAAAUAUAGUGCUAUUUUCCUAUCUGGAAAUAUAUUGCAGGUAAUUAUAACAUUGGUUAGGUUUCAGUUCAAUUUUUUCCACAUUUAAAGUUUAUUUUAAUUUCUUUUAUUGAUUUCAGCAUUCUUAGAUUCUUCUGGCUGUCUUGCAUAAUGACAUCAAGAAACAUGAAUGGGUGAGAAAGGAAUUGAGAAGAUUGCUGUAUGAUUUUUUAAAGAAGGGCAGAUACAGUUCUCCUACAGUUAAAGAAGAUUUCACAUUAUGUUGUUGAAGAUGUUUCAGUUUUCUGAUGGUAAUGGCCAUUUAAAAAUAAAUAUUCAGUUAUGUUUGUGGGUUUUACAUGACAUUUUUUUUUAUACAGGAAAGUAUUAUUAUCUAAAACCUUUCUGUUCACAGGGUAUGUGUUGCAACUAAGACAGGAACUUUUCAGAAGUUCUAACAUGCCAGAUCUAGUAGCUGCAGGAUGUAUUCAGCCUACCAAGAUGAAGCCAUGGCAAUUCAGAUUUUAUUCUAUCAGCCCUAAAAUACAUGUGAAGGAAUAAAAUUAUAUAACUCAGGAACUUCUGUGAUGCAGCAUGGCUCUUGUGAGGUUCACUUAGUUAAGCUUUGUGUAGAUUUAUAAAAACUUGUUUUCUUUAUUUUCUGGUUUGUUUUUCAUGUGUGCGUGUGCGUUUUGAAAUGCAGUGAUAUAUAUACACAUCACACACACAUCUACUAGAAAACAAUGAAAUCUGCCUAAAUGUACAGGUUUAGUCAAAAUUAUGUAACACUAACAUAAACUGUGGUAUCAUCUACUGUUCUGAAUGAUACUUUCUGCUUUUUGUGUGUUAGACAUGAUGGUGAUCAGAUUAAGACUGUCCUGACAAUCGUCUUGCACAUAUGUAUGUUUUGUGAAGAAUGGUUUCUACCAUUUAAAUGUAUAUCAUUUUGACUAAUUCUGUAUUUUAUUCCUGCAUUAGUAACAUUUUAUUAGUCUAGAUAUUUGCACAUUCUGGGCAACAGCAUUUCUCAACAUUAGGCCAAACACAACGCCGACACCUGAAUAAAGAACUAUUGCCCAGAAAAAAAAAACCCCAAAAAACACAGCUGUGCCUUGGCUAAGAUAAUGUUUUAAUUUGUAAUGCAGUGUGUUCAGAAUUUAGUACUGCAUGACUGUGGAAGAUUGUGAAUAUCGCGUAUUAGAUUGCAUGUGAGAACUGGAGUGGGAAGUUAUACGCCAUAAUCUUGCAUACAACAGUUUUGACUUUAAUAAACAAACCAGAAUAAGA